rnacentral:rRNA from 1 species
UAGGGAAUCUUCGGCAAUGGGCGAAAGCCUGACCGAGCAACGCCGCGUGAAUGAAGAAGGCCUUCGGGUUGUAAAAUUCUGUUAUAAGGGAAGAAAGGUGAUAGGAGGAAAUGACUAUCAAUUGACGGUACCUUAUGAGAAAGCCACGGCUAACUACGUGCCAGCAGCCGCGGUAAUACGUAGGUGGCAAGCGUUAUCCGGAAUUAUUGGGCGUAAAGAGCGCGCAGGUGGUUAAUUAAGUCUGAUGUGAAAGCCCACGGCUUAACCGUGGAGGGUCAUUGGAAACUGGUUGACUUGAGUGCAGAAGAGGGAAGUGGAAUUCCAUGUGUAGCGGUGAAAUGCGUAGAGAUAUGGAGGAACACCAGCGGCGAAGGCGGCUUCCUGGUCUGCAACUGACACUGAGGCGCGAAAGCGUGGGGAGCAAACAGG